CAAAAAACAUUUUUUUCGUGAUUCGAUAAUCGGAUAAUCGAUAAUCGGAUUAUAGAGUUUGGACUGUAUAGAUUUGUAUGGAAAAAUAUGACGCAUUUGAAAAUCUUUGGUGAUAGAGAAAGUACACACAAUUGCUCCGCCAAAACAAAAAUCCCUUUUGUCACCUUUACUGACGGUUCUCACAAAGUUUACACAAAAUAAAUCAAAUCAGUUGUGUUUCUGCAGCCCAUGCACGAGAUGCAUGCAAACAUACUCGAAAGGCAAGAGAUCGAUUACAGUUAUUUUCUUAAAUUGGCUCUAAUUUGAUACCUUCUUGCUCGUGGUGUUUACGGUAAGGAAGCUGUCGCGAAAAACAAAUUCAAUUUGCACGAUUGAGGCUAACAAGGAAAACUGACGGAUCGCGAAUGUUGGCUGUUUCAAAAUGGUUGAACAAGUUUAUUAAAUGCUUCAAAAACA